UACGAAGGGGGCUAGCGUUGCUCGGAAUCACUGGGCGUAAAGGGUGCGUAGGCGGGUUUUUAAGUCAGGGGUGAAAUCCUGGAGCUCAACUCCAGAACUGCCUUUGAUACUGAAGAUCUUGAGUUCGGGGAGAGGUGAGUGGAACUGCGAGUGUAGAGGUGAAAUUCGUAGAUAUUCGCAAGAACACCAGUGGCGAAGGCGGCUCACUGGCCCGAUACUGACGCUGAGGCACGAAAGCGUGGGGAGCAAACAGG
rnacentral:rRNA from 1 species